AGGCAGUGUAAUGUUAGCUGAUGUAUCUACUGCCAGCUCACAAUGCUCUGCUACCU
rnacentral:pre_miRNA from 1 species